AGACUCAAGUAUUUUUGUGCGUACGCACUAUUUCAUUUGCUUCCUUUUUACUUCAAGAAGGAAAAAAGGAGACGAAAUACAUUGGUGCGCGAAAAUAUGCUUUACUUCAAAACUUUGUGUCAAAAAUAUCAAAUAAAGACACUGAAUAUUAAAAAGAAACUCACAAGCGCCAACGGGACUUUCGUAACGUAACCGAUAGGCCGGUUCUCGAGCAGCGGAAGGUGUUCUCGAAGCAUUCCUUGGGUCGACGUUUGCUGCCCUAUGUCGUAAGUUUUCCCUAUCUUU